rnacentral:rRNA from 1 species
CAGCCGCCGCGGGAAUACAGAGGGUGCGAGCGUUAAUCGGAUUUACUGGGCGUAAAGCGUUCGUAGGCGGCUUCUUAAGUCGGAUGUGAAAUCCCUGAGCUUAACUUAGGAAUUGCAUUCGAUACUGGGAAGCUAGAGUAUGGGAGAGGAUGGUAGAAUUCCAGGUGUAGCGGUGAAAUGCGUAGAGAUCUGGAGGAAUACCGAUGGCGAAGGCAGCCAUCUGGCCUAAUACUGACGCUGAGGUACGAAAGCAUGGGGAGCAAACAGGAUUAGAUACCCCAGUAGUCCCUGUCUCUUAUAC